rnacentral:lncRNA from 1 species
CGUAGAAUGGGCAACCCUGGUCUUUCCGUACCAUAUCAUAUCAUAUCAUAUCGAGGACUAAUGGAUCAUCCAAUGACCAUCCACAUCAACAUCAUAUUAUGCAAUGCAUCAUAUUCGUGAAUUCUAAUGCAACAACCUAUAAACAUGGCAAUCGUGAUGCAUGAACAUGUUUAGGAGUUUAAUUACUUUUAAAAUAGAAAGUAGUUCUGUUCUACUCACCUCUGGCAGAUACUGGACUGACUCUGAAGCAGCUAUCUCACUGCUAAACUUCUCGGUUCCUCGGGUCCGAUCCUACACAGGUGGACUCAAAUGAGGGACCAAACAUACUCUAACAUGACUUUAAACAUCUCCCCAAAAACCCCCUAAAACAUCAUAAAAUAUUCAUAGAAAACAUGCAAAGGAAGGCUGGACAGGGCACUUUCGGCGGCAGGUUCGGCGGCCAAAAGUCCCUCCAGAGCCGAAAGUCAGGCACUUUCGGGGGCAGGGUUCGGCCGCCGAAGGUUCUUCCAGAGCCAAAAGUCACCAACCUUCGGGGGCAAGUUCGGCGUCUGAAACCUCCCUCCAGAGCCGAAAGUCCAACUUUCGGGGGCGAGAUAUGGCGGCCAAAACUGCCUCCACAAGCAGGUUCGGCUGCCGAAACUGGCUUCGGCGGCCAAACCUAGGCUUCCCCAAGGGCAGAACCCAAUUCUGCCUUGCAAAUCCAGCCACCCUCAACAACCCAACAUGCAUCAAACCAUACUAAAACAUGCAUAAACACAUUUCCAAGCAUAUAGGGGCAUAAAACUAACCUAUACCCCAACAACAUCACAUUAAGCAUACAUUUAACAAUAACCACACAUAAACCCUAAUAUUUUACAAUUAGCCUAAACAUGCAUUAAAACCCCUUUACCCUUCAUAAAACUUACUUAAAAAUAUCAGAGAAGAUAGGAUCUACACUUACCUCUUGAAGAUCGAGAGGAGAGGUGAUCCAAACUUGGAGAUUGGGAGAAAUCGAGCUCCGGGGGUGUCCAAGCCUCAAAACUUUAAUCUUAGCUCAAAAAUCUUCAAAACAACGUAAAACUCAUAAAAAACUUGAAGAGAUUGAAGGAAAACACAAAACCAACCAAAGGAGGGUGAAAUCUCACCUAUGCCCGAAAAUAGAGAGAGAAAACUCACCCAUUUUCGGACAUGGGGCCUUUUAUAGGUGGCUGGCCAGACCACCUUCGAGGGCCAAAGGUGCCUCCGCAAGAGGCCAAUGUUCGGCGGCCGAACAUGAGGUUUGACAGCCGAACCUGGCUUUUUCCUUCCUUGGUCUUUUCUUUCAAAACUCAAUUUCUUUCUUUAUUAAAACUAUAAAAACACAUAAAAACAUUUUAGAAAACCAUGUAUUACCCUUCUAGAGGGUUCCGGCAUCCGGGAUUCCACCGAAAAGUGGGAAUUCCGAUGCUGGAGUCUAGCCGGGUAUUACAUUCUUCCCCCCUUAAGAACAUUCGUCCCCGAAUGUUCAACAAACAGACAUCGCAUGGCAUAAACACACAUAACAACAAGGAAGCACAUAAACAAACACACUAACCUUAGAAGAGAUAGGGGUAUUGCUGGAAGAUAGACUCCCAUGUCUCCAAGGUACAUUCUUCUAUGUUGUGGUGAUUUGAUAGAGCAUAUUUUAGUCCACUUUCUCAUUAUGUUCUUGAUCUUUAUUUGCACCUUUUCUACCUAAUUUUGUGGUUUUAAUCAUGUUUUGUAGAAAUUAGGUGUAAAGAGACAAUCUGGAGAAAAUGCUCUUAAAACUGCCAAAAAGUGCCAAAUAUGGAAAGUGCCAAAAAGAAAAGUUUUCAAAUAUGGAAAGUGCUAAAUAAGGAAAGUUUUCUGAUAAGGAAAGUGCCAGAAAAGGAAAGCGCAAUCAACAGAUUCUUUGAAAUUCAAAUUGCAGAUUCUUCUUUCCUUAUUCAGAAGGUGAAGCCAAUUAUGAAAAGUGUCAAAUCAGGAAAGUUUUCAGAAAAGGAAAGUCCUCAAAUAAGGGAAGUGCAGAAGCAAAAGCAAAUAAGGAAAGCUUAGUCAGAAGAUUAUUUGAAAUUCAAAUUACAGAUCUUUCUUUCCUCAUUCAAAGAUAUGCACACACUGCAGCAGUCAAAUCUUCCUAUUUAGGCAGCAAGAUCUCAUGAAGACGCACUUGCCUCUUUUGCAUUCAACAUUCAAAAUUCAAAUGAAGGCUCCACCUAAAAAGGAAAGACUGGACAUAUUCACUUUCCCUUCUGUAUUCAAUGACUGCGCUCCACUUCCUCUUCUGCAAUCCGUGCGCAUCCUUCCUCUUUUGAAGCUUGAUCCGCGCGCCUCCUUUCUUCUAGAGAAUUUGCAAUGCGAUUCUUUCCUUUUCAGCACUUUGGGCAGCCUCUUCACUAAUUAGGAAGCAAGUAUGACCUAGAGCAGCACUUUCAACUAUAAAAAGACACAUAAGGAGCCUCCACACAAUCUUUAAGCCCCCUUUGGGAGGCACCUACGAGAUUCACAUCUCUUCUUCUACAUUUCUUCUUUUCUUUUAUUUUUGGUUUUUGUGUCAGCCAUGAGAGGCUGAAAUCUUUUGUUCUAGUUGAAGAUUAGGUGAUGCUUUAGUUGUUUUAUGGAUUGGGAGACUUGAUCAAACAUGGUUUAUCUUUUGGUUAUUCAAUAUUCAUGCAAUCUCAUGCUUAAUUCCAUUGUUGCUUUGUUGUUUUGAUCAAUAUGGCCAAUUGAUUCUUGAUUGCAAGGUAAUUAAUUGUUAGUUUGGAUAAUUUUUAGUCCGUAAUUGCUGGAAUUAUUCAAACAUAAGAACACUUGGUGUAACAACUAAGGAAUUGUAUGAUCUAGCAACAUCUCUUGCGUUUGAGUAGCUAGGAUUGGAUCUCUCUCUUUCUUCAUGCAAUUAACAAUUGUUUAAUGCCUAAGUCCCAAGGACGUUCCUUGGCAAUUUGUUAAUUAGUAAGUAAUUAGAGGACGUUCCCUAAUUGGUUUAAUCAUAAGGAGAGAUAUGGUGGUGAGAAGCGUCUUCCAUCUCCAUAACUAAUCUAUUGAAUCAAUCAAAAGAAACUAAGUGUCAAUGAUCAAUCCCAACAACUGAAGUGGAUCCAAUUCUUCAACUAGAGCUUUCUUAUUAUUUAUUUCUCUUUUAUUUUAUUAUUCGCUUAUUUUAAUUGCUUUCAGUAGUUUGUUAAUUAAAUCAAUCUCAAACCCCCCAUUUUACUUUUACUGCAAUAUAUUUUCAUUCCGCUUUCAGUUUAUCUCGUUUUCAGUUUUAUCUCGUUUCAGUUUAUUUCGCUUUCAGUUUAUUUUGCUUUCCAUUUAUUUCUCUUUCAGUUUAACUCGCUUUCAUUUUUAUCUCGUUUCAGUUUAUUCCGCUUUUAGUUUUAUCUCGUUUCAGUUUAUUUUGCUUUCAGUUUAUUUCUCUUUCAGUUUAUUUUUGUUUCAGUUAAUUCUCUUGGUCUUGGUAAGAAAAAUAGGUAAGUAUUCAAUUCCCUGUGGAUUCGAUCCUUUCACCAUUAUCUGCAGUUGUAAAUUGUUGAUAACCGGAAAGGUUAUUUUUGACCGGCUUCGACAACCGCGAGUCAAAAAUUGGCGCCGUUGCCGGGGAAUUGAUUUAACUAAUCUGUUUUUCUUUCAUGACCAGAUCUGAACUCAAGAAAUUGAUUCAUGGAUGAGGUAAGUACAUAUGCUAUUUCCUUUCAGCUUUCUGAACUGACCUCUCUUGUGAAUAGAUAUGUCAUAGGUCGUGCUCAACAAUUUCAGCCACCAAGGCCAUGUAGGAUCUGUGUACAUAUAGGACAUCCAACUGAUCAAUGUUCUACACUUUAUGAGGAUUACCAACCAGUGCAUACAUUUGGAGGAUUUUAUGAACAGCCAAGACAUGAUCCAUACUAUAAUACAUACAAUCCAGGUUGGGGAGCCUAUCCAGACUUCAGUUAUGCAGAGGCUAAUAACUACCAGAAUUAUCAAGGAUAUCAAGCCCAACCAGAACCUCCAAGUUCCAACCAGCACCUUGAGAAGAUGAUAGAGACAUUGGCAAUUUCUACGCAAUGCCUUCAACAGCAGAUAGAUCAAUUGGCCACCUCAAUGAAUGCAAGAAAGGAAGAGCUUCGAGAUGAUGAGACAGAUGAUAAAAGCCCACAAGUACAAGAACAAGCUGCUGAAGAAACACAACCAGAAAACUGUUUGUCCAAACAAACUGGUCAAACAGAACCUGUUGAUAGUUUAGAUAUCAUUGAUUGUUUGAGCAAAGAUGUUUUUUAUAUAAAUCAAGAUGAUAUUCUAAACAAUGAUUUUUGCAGGGAAGAAAACCAGAAAGAGCCAGAAUUGAAAGAAACUGACUGUUGCAUCCAACAGGUGAACUGCAGCCAAGCACAGACUGAAGAGAGCUCUGUCGCACCUCUUCAGGAGAAUUCACAGAUGAGCUUUGCGUAACCUGAAGCCACCUCCAUCGCAUCCUUUCAGCUUCAAACGCAGUCAAGCUCCUCCAUUCCUCCUUUUCAGUCAAGCCUUGCGCAGAAGGAGCAAACUGAAACCAUUUCAGCCAUAGAUCCAACCCAUGCUCACAAGGAACAAAUGGUAUUCCAAGCACCUAAACUAAAGGACCAUGCGGAUCAAUGCCUUCCCAAACCUCCGGAUAAGGUAGAGUUUGUUUUGCCUGAAUUCAGCACUAAAUUGCAGCUAACCAUAGAAAAACAUGAAUUGGAGUUCAAAGUGCUUCCCAAUCAUCUAAAAAAUGCAAACAUAAGGGCUAGAGGCACACCUCAUCUGAAAGAGGAGAAGCUAAUCAUGUUACUUCAUGAGUACAUUGAAAAAAUAGGAUGGGCUAUGACCAAAUCAAAAGGAGUGCUACACUUUCUACUCAAUGCAAUUGGGACCCUUUUCCCUUCCCCAAUUACUUGAGCCUUGAUCAAGUGGAUCGCACCAUGCACACCACACCUAGGGGAGUACUCAGUUUCUUUUGCAUUUUAAUAUUUUCUAUACAUUGAGGACAAUGCAUGAUUUAGGUGUGGGGGUGCAUAUUUCUGACUUUUUAUUUUUAAUUUUUCCUUUAGUUUUCAGUUUGAAUUUUUGUUUUCAUUUUGAGUGUGAUUUUUUUUUCAAUUUUUUUCAUUUUUCCACAGCUUCUCGUUUGUGUUUUGAUUUGCUUUACUCAAACUUAUGAACUAUGUUGGAUGAGCUUUUCUUUCCACGACCCCAUUGAUGUGAUGACUCUUUAAACUUAUGUUGAAUCAAUUGCAGUGAGUUAUAUUCAUGCUUGAGAAUUGCCUUUUGAAUUGAAUCUUUGAGCUUGCCAUGGUGAAAAAUGUAUUGAUGACACUCAUUAGAGAGAAUGAAUUUAAAUUGUGUGAAUGAACUUAACGUGACUUGUUUUAGCAAUUGGUGUUGAUUUGCCCAAAGCAUUGAGAGAAAGAAAAUUCAGCAAAGGCAAAGACCUCAAAAGCAUAAAGUAAAAACUAUUUCAAUGGUCAAAAGACUAUGAACAGAGCUAGUAGCCACUUGGACAGGUGACCAACUGAGUAACUGGGGGUGGGUAUCACCAAUAUGUACCUUCACAUCAAAAGGUUGGUGACUUUUUCAAGCAAAACUUAAAUGCAAAAGGCUGAAUAUGGUACUUCAAGGUAAGGGCAAAUCACUCCGAAAGCUAGAAAAAGUCUUAACUAAACAAAAUAUGUGCAUGUAUAGUCUCUCUCUUGAGUAAAACAAAUCCUAGCCAUGGUAAGUAAAGGGAAACAAGGAAAGAAAGUAAGUAAUCUUCAUGCAUAUAUUUUUCACUGCAAUGAUUCAAAAUAGGGGUCUAGAGUAAGAGUUUAAGUGGAAAUAAGGAUCUAGAGUAAGAAAGCUUGUUUAACUAUGUUUAUUUGCUUGAGGACAAGUAAAAGGCAAGGUGUGGGGGUACUUGAUAGAGCAUAUUUUAGUCCACUUUCUCAUUAUGUUCUUGAUGUUUAUUUGCACCUUUUCUACCUAAUUUUGUGAUUUUAAUCAUGUUUUGCAGAAAUUAGGUGUAAAGAGACAAUCUGGAGAAAAUGCUCUUAAAACUGGCAAAAAGUACCAAAUAUGGAAAGUGCCAAAAAGGAAAAUUUUCAAAUAUAGAAAGUGUUAAAUAAGGAAAGUUUUCUGAUAAGGAAAGUGCCAGAAAAGGAAAGCGCAAUCAACAGAUUCUUUGAAAUUCAAAUUGCAGAUUCUUCUUUCCUUAUUCAGAAGGUGAAGCCAAUUAUGAAAAGUGUCAAAUAAGGAAAGUUUUCAGAAAAGGAAAGUCCUCAAAUAAGGGAAGUGCAGAAGCAAAAGCAAAUAAGGAAAGCUCAGUCAGAAGAAUAUUUGAAAUUCAAAUCGCAGAUCUUUCUUUCCUCAUUCAAAGAUAUGCACACACUGCAGCAGUCAAAUCUUCCUAUUUAGGCAGCGAGAUCUCAUGAAGACGCACUUGCCUCUUUUGCAUUCAACAUUCAAAAUUCAAACGAAGGCUCCACCUAAAAAGGAAAGACUGGACAGAUUCACUUUCCCUUCUGUAUUCAAUGACUGCGCUCCACUUCCUCUUCUGCAUUCCGUUCGCAUCCUUCCUCUUUCGAAGCUUGAUCCGCGUGCCUCCUUCCUUCUAGAGAAUUUGCAAUGCGAUUCUUUCCUUUUCAGCACUUUGGGCAGCCUCUUCACUAAUUAGGAAGCAAGUAUGUCCUAGAGCAGCACUUUCAAUUAUAAAAAGACACAUAAGGAGCCUCCACACAACCUUUAAGCCCCCCUUGGAAGGCACCUAUGAGAUUCACAUCUCUUCUUCUAUAUUUCUUCUUUUCUUUUAUUUUUGGUUUUUGUUUCAGCCAUGAGAGGCUGAAAUCUUUUAUUCUAGUUGAAGAUUAGGUGAUGCUUUAAUUGUUUUAUGGAUUGGGAGACUUGAUCAAACAUGGUUUAUCUUUUGGUUAUUCAAUAUUCAUGCAAUUUCAUACUUAAUUUUCAUAUUACUUUGUUAUUGAGAUCUACGUUGAUUUUUUAUUGCAAAAUAAUUAUUUGUUAGUUUGAAUAAUUUAAGUCCGUAAUUGCUUAGAUUAUUCUUACAUAAGAACACUUGGCAUAGAAAACCAAGAAAGUUGCAUGAUCUAGCGUUAUCUCCAUACGUUUGGGUAGUGACUCACGGUUGUCGAAGCCGGUCAAAAAUAACCUCUACGGUUAUCAACAAUUUUACAAUUGCAGAUGGUGGUAAAGGAUCGAAUCCACAGAGAUUUGAAUACUUAUCUAUUUUUCCUAACAAGACCAAGAGAAUCAACUGAAAGCAUAAUUGGAAGCAAGUAACUGAGAGCAGAAUAAAAGUAAAGUGCAAUAAAGUAAAAAGGGGGUUUUGAGAAUGAUUUGACUAACAACUAUUGAAAGCAAUUAAAACAGCAAGUAACUAAAAUAAAAGAGGAAAUCAAUGUGAGAAAAGUCUAGUUGAAGAUAUGGAUCCACUUUGGUUGUUUGGAUUGAUCAUUGAAACUUAUGUUCCCUUGAUUGGUUCAAUAGAUUAGUUAUGGGUGUGGAAAACGCUUCUCAUCACCAUGUCUCUCCUUAUGAUUAAAUCAAUUAGGGAACAUCCUCUAAUCAAUUACUAAUUAACAAAUUGCCAAGGAACGUCCUUGGGCCUUAGGCAUCAAAACAAUUGUCAAUUGCAUAAGGAAUGAGAGAGAUCCAACCCUUGCUACCCAAACGCAUGAGAUGUUGCUAGAUCAUACAAUUCCUUAGUUUUUACACCAAGUGUUCUUAGGUCAAAAUAUUUCCAGCAAUUACGGACUAACAAAUAUCCCAACUAACAAUCAAUUAACUUUGUGAUUAAGAGUCAAAUGGCCAAUUUGAUCAAAACAACAAAGCAAUCUUAGAAUUAAGCACACAAUUGCAUGAAUAUUGAACAAACCAAAAGCAAACACUUUAUGUUCAGAUCUCACAACCCUUUAAACAACCUUGGUUUCAACCAAACUUCAACUAGAAUUAGGGUUUCAGCCACUCAUGGCUGAACCAAAACAGAAAAUAGAAGAAGAGAAGAAGGAAGGAGGAGCGGCGGCGGCAAAAGUGGAGGAGGAGCGGCGGCCGAAGGUUGGAGGAGAUGGGGUCUUGAAUUCUUGGAAUCUGCCACUUCUUGUCUUCAUAAGGCCUUUAAAUAUGUCUUGGGAGGUUGUCUAGGGUUUCUUAGGUGUCCAUGCAUCUUUUAGAGGUUGCCCAAAGUGCCCUUGGUCUUAUAUGUGUCUUCUAGGUGCAUGUGUGAAGUUGCAAGGACUUUUUGGUCUUUUAAUUGCUGCCCAAGUGUGUCCAAGAAGUUUCCUUCACAUUAUUCUUGCCACUCAUGCACUAAAGAGGAAGGUGGAGCCUCUUUUGAAUUUUGAAUGUGCAUGGCAUGAAGUAGGAAACAUGUGAUCUUCAAGAUUUGGCUUCUUGAAUAAGGAAGAGGCAAGUUGGGAGGAUUUUCGGCCGCCUAAGCUUAUUUUCGGAAGCUGGGCUUUCGGCUCUAGAGCAAACUUUUGGCCACCGAAGAUGCUGCCGAAGAUGGAUGACUUUUGGCUCUGAACGAGACAUUCGACCACCGAAGGUGCUUCCGAAGGUAGUUGAGUUUCGGUUCUGGACGACCCUUUCAGCCGCCGAAGGUGCUUUCGAAGGUGGCUCUUCUAGAUUUGGCAAUUUUUGGCAUUUUUGAGAGCAUUUUCUCUUGAUUGUCUCUUUACACCUAAUAUCUGCAAAACAUGAUUAAAACCACAAAAUUAGGUAGAAAAGGUGUAAAUAAACAUCAAUAAGAUCAUGAUUAUAUGGACUAAAAUAUGCUCUAUCAAAUACCCCCCACACGUAGCCUUUUGCUUGUCCUCAAGCAAAUAAACAUAGUCAAAUAAGCUUUCUUUGCUCUAGAUCCUUAUUUCCACUUAAGCUCUUACUCUAGACACCUAUUUUGAAUCAUUGCAGUAAAGAAUAUAUGCAUGAAGAUUACUUACCUCCUUUCCUUGUUUCCCUUUGCUUACCAUGGCUAGGAUUUGUUUUCCUCAAGAGAGACCAUUCAUGCACAUUAAUUUGUUAAGACUUUUUCUAGCCUUUGGAGUGACUUGCCCUUACCUUGAAGUACUUUAUUCAGGCUUUUGCACUUAGAUUUUCCUUGAAAAAGUCACCAACCUUUUGACGUGAAGGUACAUAUUUGUGAUACCCACCCCCAGUUACUCAGUUGGUCACCUUUCCAAGUGGCUACUAGCCUUGUUCUUAGUCUUUUGACCAUUGGAACAGUUUUUUAUUUUGAGCUUUUGAGGUCUUUGCCUUUGCUGAAUUUUCUUUCUCUCAAUGAUUUGGGUAAAUCAACACCAAUUGCUAAAUCAAGUCAUGUUAAGUUCAUUCACACAAUUUUCAAUUCAUUCUCUCUAAUGAGUGUCAUCAAUAUAUUUUUCACCAUGGCAAACUCAAAGAUUCAAUUCAAAAGGCAAUUCUCAAACAUGAAUACAACUCACUGCAGUUGAUUCAACAUAAGUUUAAAGAGUCAUCACAUCAAUGGGGUCAUGGAAAGAAAGACUCAUUUAACAUAGUUCAUCAGUUUAAGUAGAGCAAAUCAAAAAGAAGAAGAAGGUUGUGGUUGUGUGUGUUUUAUUGAAAGCAAAAACUAAAAAAAUUCAACUGUGGCUAUUCAGAAUGAGUAAAUCGCAAAUGCUGAAAGAAAAGAAAAAAUUUUCGCAGAACUGAAGCUAUGUAAAAUCGCAGAAGGAGAAAGGAAGAAGAAUAGAAGAAGAAGAGGAGGAGAGAAGAGAUAUGCACCCCCACACUUAAAUCAUGCAUUGUCCUCAAUGUAUAAGAAACAUAAAAGAACAAAGGAAACUAAAUACUCCCCUGGGGUGUGGUGCAUGUUGUGAUUUAUUUAGGCUGAGGGAUGUUGUAGUGGAAUUUCUUCCACCACUUGUACUGCGAAUCCUUCAAAGUAUGGCUUCAGACGAUGUCCAUUCACCUUGAAGAUUUUUUUCAGUUUCUAUGCUUCAGAUGUCUACAGCUCCAUGUGGGUAAGCAUGUUCUACUAUGAAUGGUCCAAUCCACCUAGACUGUAGCUUUCCUGGAAACAAUUUCAAACGAGAGUCAAAGAGUAAGACUUUGUCACCAACCUCAAAUUGUUUUCUUGAAAGAUGACUGUCAUGGGAGGCUUUGGUUUUUGUUUUGUAGUUCCAAGAAUUGUCAUAUGCAUCUCGUCUUAUUUCCUCUAGCUCUUGCAGUUGCAGUUUGAUCCUUUCUCUGAUGAUGGGUACUACUUUACUGGUGAUCUCUACUAGCUCAGGCCCUGCUAAGGCCUUUUCUCCAACUUCUUCCCAGCAGACAGGUGACCUGCACUUCCUUCCAUACAAAGUUUUAUAUGGAGUCAUCCCUAUGCUAGCAUGAUAGCUGUUAUUGUAGGCAAACUCCACCAAGGGUAGAUGCUGCCUCCAAGAACCGCCAAAAUCUUGCACACACAUUCUGAGCAUAUCUUCAAUUAUCUGGAUGGUCCUCUCUGACUGUUCGUCAGUCUGUGGAUGGAAGGCAGUGCUAAAGUUCAGCCCGGUACCCAUAGCACUCUGCAGACUUCGCCAAAACCUGGAAGUGAACUGGGGUCCCCUAUCUGACACAAUUGAAACGGGAGCCCCAUGCAACUUGACAACCUCUUCCACAUACACCUGCGCCAAUUUGUCCACAGAAUAGUCACUCCUGAUAGGGAUGAAGUGAGUAGAUUUGGUCAGUCUGUCCAUAAUCACCCAUAUGGAGUCCAAUCUGUUGGACGUUGCUGGUAACCCCACCACAAAAUUCAUAGCUAUAUUCUCUCAUUUUCACUCUGGAAUCGGUAGUGGGUUAAGCAUCCCAGCUGGCUUCUGAUGUUCCAGCUUCACCCUCUGACAUACUUCGCAGGCGGACACGAACUGUGCCACUACUCUUUUCAUAGCUGGCCACCAAUAAACUCUUUUCAGAUCCUGGUACAUUUUGGUGGCUCUAGGGUGAACACUGUAUCUGGCAUUAUGAGCUUCCCUCAUAAUGUCUCCCUUCAGACUCACGUCAUCUGGUACACAUAACCUGUUCCCAUAGCGGAGGAUCCCCUUGCUGUCAAAUUUGAACUCUUCAUUCUUGCCUGACUGAACAGUCCUGGCAAUUUUCACUAACUUUGGGUCCUCAUACUGUUUCUGAGCCACCUGCUACAGAAACACGGGUGCCACUCUCAUCUGAGCUAUCAAAGCACCUGUACCAGACAACUCCAACUGCAGCCCUUCACCAAUGAGCUUAUAGAAUUCCCUCACCACCGGUCUUCUCUCUGCUAUAAUAUGGGAUAGACUGCCAAGUGAUUUCCGGCUUAGGGCAUCUGCCACAACAUUUGCCUUACCCGGAUGGUACUGAAUUUUGCAAUCAUAGUCACUAAGCAGUUCUACCUAUCUCCUCUGCCUCAGAUUCAACUCUCUUUGACUCAAGAUGUACUGCAAGCUCUUAUGAUCUAUGAAGAUCUCACAUUUAACCCCAUACAGGUAAUGCCUCCAUAUCUUGAGUGCGAAGAUCACAGCUGCCACUAGGUCAUGUGUAGGAUAAUUCAACUCAUGCUUCUUCAGCUGCCUAGAAGCAUAAGCAAUUACUCUCUCAUUUUGCAUCAACACACAACCUAGUCCCACAUGGGACGCAUCACAAAACACUGUGAUGUCUUCAUUACUAGUAGGCAGAGCUAACACUGGUGCUGACAUUAACCUUUUCUUCAGCUCUUCAAAGCUUUCCUCACAUUGAUCAGACCACACAAACCUCUGAUUCUUCUUGGUCAAUCUGGUCAUAGGAGUGGCAAUUUUGGAGAAGUCCUGUAUGAACCUCCUGUAGUAACCUGCCAAACCUAAAAAGCUUUUAAUCUCUGUAACUGUAGUGGGUCUGGGCCAGUUAGCUACAACUUCUACCUUCUUGGGGUCCACUUCAAUACCUUUUUCUGACACAACAUGUCCCAAGAAAGAUAUGCUCCUUAACCAGAAUUAACAUUGGGAGAACUUGGCAUACAAGCCGUGCUCCCUCAGGGUCUGCAAAACUAUCCUCAGAUGAUGGGCAUGCUCCUCUGCGUUUCUGGAAUACACUAAAAUAUCGUCAAUGAAAACGAUAACAAAGUGAUCCAGAUACUGACUGAAAACUCUAUUCAUGAGAUCCAUGAAUGCUGCAGGGGCAUUGGUCAGCCCAAACGGCAUCACUAGGAACUCAUAAUGCCCAUAUCUGGUCCUGAAUGCCGUCUUCGGCACAUCUUCCUCUCUGAUUCUCAGCUGGUGGUACCCAAAUCUCAGAUCUAUCUUGGAGAAACAACUUGCUCCAGCUAGCUAGUCAAAUAGAUCAUCGAUCCUAGGUAACGGAUACUUUUUCUUGGUAGUGACUUUUUUCAACUACCUAUAGUCGAUACAAAGUCUUAAGGAUCCAUCCUUCUUCUUUACAAACAGCACUGGAGCAUCCCAAGGUGAGGUACUCGGUUGGAUGAAACCCUUGUCUACCAACUCUUGCAACUGCUCCUUUAGCUCCUUCAACUCUGCUAGUGCCAUCCUGUAGGGAGGGAUAGAGAUUGGUCUGGUUCCAGGCAUCAAUUCUAUUUCGAACUCUAUUUCCCUAGCAGGUGGUAGUCCUGAAAGCUCGUCUAGGAAGACAUCUGGAAACUCUCUGACCACGGGCACUGAGGCGGGUUCCCUAACCUGACUAUCCAACUCUCUCACAUGAGCUAGAAACCCCUGACAACCUCUCCUGAGCAACCUACAAGCCUGUAGGGCUGAUAUCAGACCUCUAGGCAUACCCCUCCUGUCUCCUCCGAAGACAACCUCUGAUCCAUCCUGAUCUCUGAACCUGACUACCUUGUCUAUGCAAUCCAAGGUAGCACCAUGAGUAGAUAGCCAAUCCAUCCCUAGAAUGACAUCAAAAUCUGUCAAGUCUAGAACCACAAGGUCGGCUGUAAGGCAUCUACCCUCAACAAAAAAUGGACUGAACCGGCAGACUGACUCUGCCACUGAUGGGUCACACUUGGGUCCACUGACCCAGAGGGGACACUCUAACCCAGAGACUAUCAAACACAACCUCUCUACGGAUCUCGGAGCAACAAAAGAAUUAGAUGCACCAGGGUCCAUUAAAGCAUACACAUCUGAACAACCAAUGAUGAGAUUACCUGACACCAUGGUGUUGGAUGUGUUUGCCUCCUGUUGUGUCAUAGUGAAGAUCCGAGCUGGAGUUGAUGGACCUUCACCCCGGGAACCUAUUAAAGAAGAGGCUGUCCCUCUCCUUCUGCCUCAGCCACUGCCCUAAGUCAAGGCUGGAGCUACUGGCUGAGCCACACUACCAGAAGCCGUCUGCUGGGACGAUGCCAUAAAAGCUGCCCUAGGACACUCCCGAGCCAUAUGUCCCUCCUGGCCGCACCUGAAGCAGGCCGUUGUCCCAAAUCGACAUACUCCCUUGUGUGGCUUACCACACCUCAAGCAUUCUGAACCAUCUGAACCUGAGCUCGAGCCACCACCAAAACCCAAACCUGACUUCAAACGGUUCCAGAACUUAUUCUUCUUGGGCUUGGCUCUGCCCCACUUUUUACUGCCUGAAGUUGCUGCACUCAAAGAAGAGGGAUCUAACUUUCUCCCGCCUGGGGUCUUGGAACCCGAGGACUGUGCCACUGUCUGCUUAACUGUCCCCUGAAUAAUGGCACUAGCCUCCAUCUUUCGUGCUGCAUUCACUAUGGUGUGGAAGUCCUCUCUCUCAGCUGCUAAAAUUAGGGAGGAAUACCUAGGGUGGAGCCUCAUGGUAUACCUUCUGGCCUUUUUCUGAUCUGUGUCAUAUGCCUGGCCCACAUAUUGCAGCAAGUCCAGAAACCUGUCUGUGUAUUCAUCUACACUCAUAUCCUCAGUCUGCCUUAGCUGCUCAAACUCUACAACUUUCAGCUUUCUGGAACUAUCAGGAAAAGCCCAUCCUGCAAACUCAUUAGCAAACUGCUCCCAGGAUAAGCUCUCCAACCUCGGGUCCACAUAGUUUUUAAACCAUUCUCUUGCUUUCUUGCAUUUCAGCAUGAACCCCGCCAUCUGAAUGGCUCUACUAUCAUUUGCCCCCAACUCAUCUGUAAUCAUCUUUACCAUUUUGAGAUACUCAAACGGAUCAUCUCCCAUCUUGAACUUGGGAGCAUCCAGCUUCAAGUAAUCGGUCAUCUUUACCUUGCUCCCCACAGAUGAGCUAGGCUUGGGUGUUUGGAUUCCAGGGGCUACUGGUUCUGCUGGUGGAGGAGGGGGUGCAGCAUUCCCUGGGUUAGGGUUUGCUGUACUUGGGUAGAAGGGUGAGGGUGGAUACAUAGGGUAUUGGGGAUAUGGUGGGUAAAAAGGAGGGUAGGGCAUAUAGGAGGGAUAUGGGUUGAAACUGGAGUAAUCCGAUGUACCCCCCAUCGGAUACCCUGGGCCCUGAGGAAAGGGUUGAUACUGGGGUGGAUAACCAAACCCCGAGGCCUGAGCACCUCCUUGAGAUUCUCCCAUGCCCUCUUUCGACAUGCUCAUGCCCAAGCUACCAUCUCUUCUCUGCUCAUCCUCCCUUGAUCCCCUUACAUCAGCUGACAUACCACCCUGAACGGUUCUCCUUCUGCUCACAUCAAAAGACCUUCUAAGGUCCCUUGAUGUUCCCUCUCUACUUGAUCUACAAGACAUUGCCCUUGGCAAAGCAGGGGGACAGGCAUCCAUGCCCUCAUUCUCUGGUGGGACUCCAGUCAAUCAUGCAGAUCAAUGAGUGCCUCGCAUUAUGUUUUCUGAGAAACAACAGAAAACACAAAAACAUUAACAUCAUAUGGUUCAUGUGAAAACACAUGAACCCACAUCACAUACAUAGCAUAUCGUUAAUGCACAUGCAUAUAGUCAUGGCAUUUCACAUCAUUAUCAAGACAGGACUCUAUAUCCUAUCCUGGUGGACAUGAUUUUUCCUAUUGUGCUUGCCCUUCUAUGAUAUCUAUGAGCCCGACACUCUAGGUCCGACCAUAUGAACCUAGGGCUCUGAUACCACUCUGUAAAGACUCGAAAACCGGACUGCUACCGGCGCUAGGGUCCAGAUCGACUUAAGGUCGCUGGGACCCGUAGCAAGCCAAACAUACAACCUGUCAUGCCUGAUAAAUCCCAUACAUGAUCAUACAUUUACAUAAAAAUUUUAAACUUUUCACACACCAAGCUUGACCUGUGCAUGCACCAUAACUAUAAACAUAAAACCCCACACUAGAGCCCUCAUCAAAUGCUCUAGUGGGGCAUCAUAUCAUAUGUCAAGUCUGGUUCAACAUAACUCAUCAUUAAACAUUUAUUAAAGAUCAUGUACAAAAAGGGAUUACUAUACAUUAGGGCCAAGCACAAUACUAAUCCUCAAUACAUAACCGUACAAUACCUUACAUUACAUUACAUUAAUUUACAUAUCAUGUCCACUGCUAAUCUAUUACAAUAACACAGCUUUUACCCUUGACAACUUCCCGAUCUAUCCUAAACCUUCAACCCUGGGGGUUAGGGAAAGAGGUGAGCUACUAAAGCCCAGUGAGCAGAACAAUAAAACAAUUUAAAUAUCACAUGCUUUUAUGAAAUGCAUCACAACACAAGUAAAUCACCUUAAGGUGGUAUUGUCACCAAUAGCCCUCUACAUAUCCAAUAAAUGCCCGGCCCUCGAUGGAGCUCCUCAGGACUUCCUCUUAAACAUAACAUAACAUGUCCAACUGUGCCAGGGGCGUAGAAUGGGCAACCCUGGUCUUUCCCUUACUUUGUACCAGGGGCGUAGAAUGGGCAACCCUGGACUUUCCGUACCAUAUCAUAUCGAGGGCUAAUGGAUCAUCCAAUGACCAUCCACAUCAACAUCAUAUUAUGCAAUGCAUCAUAUUCAUGAAUUCUAAUGCAACAACUUGGCAAUCGUGAUGCAUGAACAUGUUUAGGAGUUUAAUUACUUUUAAAAUAGAAAGUAGUUGAUAGAACAUAUUUUAGUCCAUUUUAUCUUGAUAUUAUGGAUGAUUAUUUACAUGAUUUCUGUUUAAUUUAGUGCUCUUGAUAUUAUUUUGCAGAAAAUGGUGAAAAAGGACUUUUUGGAGAAAAUACCCUUAAAACUGCCUUAAAUGGAGCAAAGGAGAGCAAGCCUGCCAAGUUGGAAUCAAGUGAAGCUAAAUAAGGAAAGUUCUAAAUAAGGAAAGUGGCAAAGAAGGAAAGAACAUUCAGCCAAAGCAAUUUGAAAUUCAAAUUUCAAAUCUCCACGUAGCCUUUUCCUUAUUCAAGAAGCCAAGUCUCAAGUUGCCAUAAAUGAAGAGCCAAAUAAGAAAAGUAUUUUGAAAUUCAAAUCUUCAAGAUUCAUAUUCAAAUUUUGAAUUUCAAAAUCCAGCUUAUUAAGGAAGCUAAAUUCAAAGAUCACAUGCUUGCCACCUCAUGCCUUGCACAUUCAAAAUUCAAAUUGCAAAGGAGGCUCCACCUUCCUUAUUAGUGCAUGGGCGGCAAGGAGAGUGUGANNNNNNNNNNNNNNNNNNNNNNNNNNNNNNNNNNNNNNNNNNNNNNNNNNNNNNNNNNNNNNNNNNNNNNNNNNNNNNNNNNNNNNNNNNNNNNNNNNNNNNNNNNNNNNNNNNNNNNNNNNNNNNNNNNNNNNNNNNNNNNNNNNNNNNNNNNNNNNNNNNNNNNNNNNNNNNNNNNNNNNNNNNNNNNNNNNNNNNNNNNNNNNNNNNNNNNNNNNNNNNNNNNNNNNNNNNNNNNNNNNNNNNNNNNNNNNNNNNNNNNNNNNNNNNNNNNNNNNNNNNNNNNNNNNNNNNNNNNNNNNNNNNNNNNNNNNNNNNNNNNNNNNNNNNNNNNNNNNNNNNNNNNNNNNNNNNNNNNNNNNNNNNNNNNNNNNNNNNNNNNNNNNNNNNNNNNNNNNNNNNNNNNNNNNNNNNNNNNNNNNNNNNNNNNNNNNNNNNNNNNNNNNNNNNNNNNNNNNNNNNNNNNNNNNNNNNNNNNNNNNNNNNNNNNNNNNNNNNNNNNNNNNNNNNNNNNNNNNNNNNNNNNNNNNNNNNNNNNNNNNNNNNNNNNNNNNNNNNNNNNNNNNNNNNNNNNNNNNNNNNNNNNNNNNNNNNNNNNNNNNNNNNNNNNNNNNNNNNNNNNNNNNNNNNNNNNNNNNNNNNNNNNNNNNNNNNNNNNNNNNNNNNNNNNNNNNNNNNNNNNNNNNNNNNNNNNNNNNNNNNNNNNUCUCUUUCUUCAUGCAAUUAACAAUUGUUUGAUGCCUAAGGCCCAAGGACGUUCCUUGGCAAUUUGUUAAUUAGUAAUUAAUUAGAGGACGUUCCCUAAUUGGUUUAAUCAUAAGGAGAGACAUGGUGGUGAGAAGCGUCUUCCAUCUCCAUAACUAAUCUAUUGAAUCAAUUAAAAGAAACUAAAUGUCAAUGAUCAAUCCCAACAACUGAAGUAGAUCCAAUUCUUCAACUAGAGCUUUUUUAUUAUUUAUUUCUCUUUUAUUUUAUUAUUCACUUAUUUUAAUUGCUUUCAGUAGUUUGUUAAUCAAAUCAAUCUCAAACCCCCUAUUUUACUUUUACUGCAAUUUAUUUUUAUUCCGCUUUCAGUUUAUCUCGUUUUCAGUUUUAUCUCGUUUCAGUUUGUUUUGCUUUCAAUUUAUUUUGCUUUCAGUUUGUUUUGCUUUCAGUUUAUUUUGCUUUCAGUUUAUUUCACUUUCAGUUUAUUUGGCUUUUCGUUCAUCUCAUUUCAAUUUAUUUCUCUUUCAGUUAUUUUUAUUUCAGUUUAUUCUCUUGGUCUUGAUAAGGAAAAUAGGUAAGUUUUCAAUUCCCUGUGGAUUCGAUCCUUUCACCGCUAUCUGCAGUUAUAAAUUGUUGAUAAUUGGAAAGGUUAUUUUUGACCGGCUUCGACAACCGCGGUCAAAAAUUGGCGCCGUUGCCGGGGAGUUGAUUUAACUUAUUUGUUUUUUUUCAGGACCAGAUCUGUCACCCAAAGAACACCUCAUCGCAGAUCUGAACAUAAAAAAAAAAAGAGGAAGUGAAGACCACUUUCGCGCAGGAGCACCUUCUGCAACACAUUCGGCCGCCGAACCUCAUCCUCAUUCGGCCGUCGAACAUCUCGCCAAAGGCAUAGUCACCAUCACAGAUCUGAAUCAUGGAUGAGGUAAGUACACCUGCCACUUCUUCUCAGCUUUCUGAACUGACAUCUUUUAUGAAAGAUUUUGCCAUAGGACUAGUUCAACAGGUUCAAGCAUUUCAGCCACCAAGGCCAUAUGGGACCUAUGCAUAUGUAGGACACCCAACUGAUCAAUGUCAUAUGCUUUAUGGGAAUAGUCAGCCUAGACAUACAUUUGGAGGAUUCAAUGACCAACCAGUUCCUGCAUAUGAAGGAUUCAAUAGCCAGCCUAGACAUGAUCCAUACUAUAACACAUACAAUCCAGGCUGGAGAGACUAUUCAGACUUCAGUUAUGCAUGGGAUAACAACUACCAGAAUUAUCAAGGAUAUCAAACCCAACCAGAACCUCCAAAUUCCAUCCAGCACCUUGAAAAGAUGAUGGAAACAAUGGUAAGUUCCAUGCAAAGCAUGCGACAGGACAUAGGACAAUUGGCCACCUCAAUGAAAGCAAACAUGUUAAGAAGAGAGCAAGAGCUUCAAGAUGUCGAGGAUGAUGAUGAAAGUUGGCAAGUACAAGAACAAGCUGUUGAAGAAACACAACCAGAAAACUGUUUGUCCAAACAAACUGGUCAAACAGAACCUGUUGAUAGUUUAGAUAUCAUUGAUUGUUUGAGUAAAGAAGUUUUUUUAUGUAAAUUAAGAUGAUAUACUAAAUGAUGAUCUUUGUAGGCAAGAGAGCCGGAAAGAGCCAGAAUUGAAAGAAACUAUUUGUUGCAUCCAACAGGUGGAUUGCAGCCAUGCACAGAAUGAACAGAAGCAGAUCGCACCACUUUAGCUUGGUGCGCAGAUCAACCUUGCACAGUCAGAGAGCAUUCCAGGCAUGGCUCUUCAGCUUGAACCGCAGGACAGUCAUCCUUUUCAGGUAAGUCUUGUGCAGUAGGAGGCAACUGAAACCAAUUCAGCCAUAGAUCCAAUACAAACAGCCCAUGCUCACAAAUAAUAAAUGGUAUUCCAAGCACCUAAACCAAAGGACCAUGCAGAUCAAUGCCUUCCCAAACCUCCGGUUAAGGUAGAGUUUGUUUUGCCUGAAUUCAGUACUAAAUUUCAGCUAGCCAUAGAGAAACAUGAAUUGGAGUUCAAAAUGCUGCCCAAUCAUCUCAAAAAUGCAAACAUAAGGGCUAGAGGCACACCUCAUCUGAAAGAGGAGAAGCUAAUCAUGUUACUUCAUGAGUACAUGAAAGAAAUAGGAUGGGCUAUGACCAAAUCAAAAGGAGUGCUACACUUUUUGCUCAAUGCAGUUGGGACGCUUUUCCCUUCCCCAAUUACUUGAGCCUUGAUCAAGAGGAUCGCACCAUGCACACCACACCCAGGGGAGUACUCAGUUUCUUUUGCUUUUUUAAUGUUUCUUAUACAUUGAGGACAAUGCAUGAAUUAGGUGUGGGGGUGCAUAUCUCUGAAUUUCCCUUUUAGCUUUUUGCGAUCUUUCUUCUUCUUUUUCUUUCAGUUUUUGCGCAAUUUUUUUUCUUUUUUUCCUUUCAAUUUGCGAUUUUUUUCCUUUCAGCUUUUCUUUUAGUCUUUGCUUUCAAUAACACACAUAACCACAGUCUUCUUCUUUUUGUUUUGCUCUACUCAACUGAUGAACUAUGUUAGAUGAGCUUUUCUUUCCAUGACCCCAUUGAUGUGAUGACUCUUUAAACUUAUGUUGAAUCAAUUGCAGUGAGUUAUAUUCAUGUUUGAGAAUUGCCUUUUGAAUUGAAUCUUUGAGUUUGCCAUGGUGAAAAAUAUAUUGAUGACACUCAUUAGAGAGAAUAAAUUGAAAAUUGUGUGAAUGAACUUAACAUGACUUGUUUUAGUAAUUGGUGUUGAUUUGCCCAAAUCAUUGAGAGAAAGAAAAUUCAGCAAAGGCAAAGACCUCAUGAGCACAAAUUCAAAACUGUUCCAAUGGUUCAAAGACUAUAAACAGAGCUAGUAGCCACUUGGACAGGUGACCAACUGAGUAACUGGGGGUGGGUAUCACCAAUAUGUACCUUCAUGUCAAAAGGUUGGUGACUUUUUCAAGCAAGAUCUAAGUGCAAAAGACUGAAUAAAGUACUUCAAGGUAAGGGCAAGUCAAUCCGAAAGCUAAAAAGAGUCUUAUCUAAAUAAAUAAUAUGUGCAUGAAUGAUCUCUCUCUUGAGUAAAACAAAUCCUAACCAUGGUAAGUAAAGGGAAACAAGGAAAGAAGGUGAGUAAUCUUCAUGCAUAUAUUCUUCACUACAAUGAUUCAAAAUAGGUGUCUUGAGUAAGAGCUUAAGUGGAAAUAAGGAUCAAGUAGCAAAGAAAGCUUAUUUGACUAUGUUUAUUUGCUUGAGGACAAGCAAAAGGCUAGGUGUGGGGGUAUUUGAUAGAACAUAUUUUAGUCCAUUUUAUCUUGAUAUUAUGGAUGAUUAUUUACAUGAUUUCUACUUAAUUUAGUGCUCUUGACAUUAUUUUGCAGAAAAUGGUGAAAAAGGACAUUUUGGAGAAAAUACCCUUAAAACUGCCUUAAAUGGAGCAAAGGAGAGCAAGCCUAUCAAGUUGGAAUCAAGUGAAGCUAAAUAAGGAAAUUUCUAAAUAAGGAAAGUGGCAAAGAAGGAAAUAACAUUCAUCCAAAGCAAUUUGAAAUUCAAAUUUCAAAUCUCCAAGUAGCCUUUUCCUUAUUCAAGAAGCCAAGUCUCAAGUUGCCAUAAAUGAAGAGCCAAAUAAGGAAAGUAUUUUGAAAUUCAAAUCUUCAAGAUUCAUAUUUAAAUUUUGAAUUUCAAAAUCCAGCUUAUUAAGGAAGCUAAAUCCAAAGAUCACAUGCUUGCCACCUCAUGCCUUGCACAUUCAAAAUUCAAAUUGCAAAGGAGGCUCCACCUUCCUUAUUAGUGCAUGGGCGGCAAGGAGAGUGUGAAGGAAAGUCUUGGGCACCUUGGGCAGCAUCUUGAAGACACUUGGGCAGCAACCAAAGACCAAAAGUCCCACUCCUUGCACUUGAACACAUGCCCCACGUUUUUCCCUUCUCACAUGUGCAUGGAUGGCACAUCUUUGACCAAGGGCAUUUUGGGCAGCCUUUUGAAGUCCUUUGGGCAGCCUCUUGACACCUUGGGCAGCCUCUUCACUAAUUAGGAAGCAAGUAUCAUCUAGGGCAACACUUUUCAAGUAUAAAAAGACACAUAAGGAGCCUCCCCAUGCUCUUUCAAAGCCCCCAUUGGAGGCACCUACGGGAUUGCAAGUGACACCAUCUCUUCUUCUUCUUUUCUUUAUUUUUGGUUUUUGUUUCAGCCAUGAGUGGCUGAAACCUUUUUUUCUAGUUGAAGAUUGGUUGAAACUUUGGUUGUUUUAUGGAUUGUGAGAUUUGAAAUUAAGUUGUUUAUCUUUUGGUUAUUCAAUAUUCAUGCAAUCUCAUGCUUAAUUCCAUUGUUGCUUUGUUGUUUUGAUCAAUAUGGCCAAUUGAUUCUUGAUUGCAAGGUAAUUAAUUGUUAGUUUGGAUAAUUUUUAGUCCGUAAUUGCUGGAAUUAUUCAAACAUAAGAACACUUGGUGUAACAACUAAGGAAUUGUAUGAUCUAGCAACAUCUCAUGCGUUUGAGUAGCUAGGAUUGGAUCUCUCUCUUUCUUCAUGCAAUUAACAAUUGUUUGAUGCCUAAGGCCCAAGGACGUUCCUUGACAAUUUGUUAAUUAGUAAUUAAUUAGAGAACGUUCCCUAAUUGGUUUAAUCAUAAGGAGAGACAUGGUGGUGAGAAGCGUCUUCCAUCUCCAUAACUAAUCUAUUGAAUCAAUCAAAAGAAACUAAAUGUCAAUGAUCAAUCCCAACAGCUGAAGUGGAUCCAAUUCUUAAACUAGAGCUUUCUUAUUAUUUAUUUCUCUUUUAUUUUAUUAUUCGCUUAUUUUAAUUGCUUUCAGUAGUUUGUUAAUCAAAUCAAUCUCAAACCCCCUAUUUUACUUUUACUGCAAUUUAUUUUUAUUCCACUUUCAGUUUAUCUCGUUUUCAGUUUUAUCUCAUUUCAGUUUGUUUUGCUUUCAGUUCAUUUUGCUUUCAAUUUAUUUUGCUUUCAGUUUAUUUCGCUUUCAGUUUAUUUGGCUUUCCGUUCAUAUCGUUUCAGUUUAUUUCUCUUUCAGUUAUUUUUAUUUCAGUUUAUUCUCUUGGUCUUGAUAAGGAAAAUAGGAUGUGGAUUCGAUCCUUUCACCACUAUCUGCAGUUGUAAAUUGUUGAUAACUAGAAAGAUUAUUUUUGACCAGCUUCGACAACUGCGAGUCAGUAGUUCUGUUCUACUAACCUCUAGCAGAUACUGGACUGACUCUGAAGCAGCUAUCUCACUGCUGAACUCCUUGGUUCCUCGGGUCCGAUCCUACACAGGUGGACUCAAAUGAGGGACCAAACAUACUCUAAC